GGAAACCAACAGGGAUUGCCUUAGUAACGGCGAGUGAACUGGCAAAAGCUCAAAUUUGAAAUCUGGCGUUUGCCUGAGUUGUAAUUUGAAGAGGAUGUCUUUUGUUUUAACUUGAGAUUGAAGUCUUCUGGAACGUAGCAUCAUGGAGGGUAAUAAUCCCGUAUGUGAUUUCAAGUUUUAUAAGCAAUAUAAGACUCCUUCAAUGAGUCGAGUUGUUUGGGAAUGCAGCUCUAAAUGGGAGGUAAAUUUCUUCUAAAGCUAAAUAUAGGCUAGAGACCGAUAGUGAACAAGUAGAGUGAUCGAAAGAUGAAAAGAACUUUGGAAAGAGAGUUAAACAGUAUGUGAAAUUGUUGGAAGGGAAGCAUUUGCAAUCAGAUUUGUGUUGUUAAAAUUCACCUACACAUUCUAUGUGCUUAGAGCAUUUUUUUUCAACACUUGUCAACAUCAAUUUGAGCAGUGAUAUAAUCUUGGAUAAAAUGUGGCUCAUUGAGUGUUAUAGUUAUCCUUGCUAAUCACUUGCAUAAAUUGAGGCUUGCGGUUACCCAUGGAUGUUGACUUAAUGGUUGUAAGUGGCCC
rnacentral:rRNA from 2 species